AGCUUCAGCCGCCAGGCCCAAACUCUCUGGCAAGUCAUGAUAAUGGCCACUACCCCACUCCACUCUCUGUAAAAGAUUUCAUGUGGCCCCGCCACUCUCUGGCAAGUCGCGACAACGGACACCACUCCACUCUCCAUAACAAACUCCACGUGGCUCUGAAUGGCCCACUAAUGCCACUACUCUCUGCAACAAACUCUGCGUGGCCACGAACGGCCCACUAUCAGGUGGUUACAAACGUCGCUGUCGAUCAAUUACACUCUCCAUCUAUAAAAAGGGAACCCCC
rnacentral:lncRNA from 1 species